GCAGUCGCCGCGGUAAUACGAAGGGGGCUAGCGUUGCUCGGAAUUACUGGGCGUAAAGGGCGCGUAGGCGGACAGUUCAGUCGGGGGUGAAAGCCCGGGGCUCAACCUCGGAAUUGCCUUCGAUACUGGCUGUCUUGAGUAUGAGAGAGGUGUGUGGAACUCCGAGUGUAGAGGUGAAAUUCGUAGAUAUUCGGAAGAACACCAGUGGCGAAGGCGACACACUGGCUCAUUACUGACGCUGAGGCGCGAAAGCGUGGGGAGCAAACAGGAUUAGAUACCCCAGUAGUCCCUGUCUCUUAUAC
rnacentral:rRNA from 1 species